rnacentral:rRNA from 1 species
GAUGAACGCUAGCGGGAGGCUUAACACAUGCAAGUCGAGGGGCAGCAUAGGGUAGCAAUACUCUGAUGGCGACCGGCAAACGGGUGAGUAACGCGUAUGCAACCUACCCUGUACAGGGGGAUAACCCGGAGAAAUUCGGACUAAUAUCCCGUAAUAAUAUCCAGAGGCAUCUUGGAUAUUUAAAGUUUCGACGGUACGGGAUGGGCAUGCGUAACAUUAGCUGGUUGGUAAGGUAACGGCUUACCAAGGCUAUGAUGUUUAGGGGUCCUGAGAGGGUGGUCCCCCACACUGGUACUGAGACACGGACCAGACUCCUACGGGAGGCAGCAGUGAGGAAUAUUGGUCAAUGGGCGCAAGCCUGAACCAGCCAUCCCGCGUGCAGGAAGACGGCCCUAUGGGUUGUAAACUGCUUUUCCAGGGAGAGAAACUUACGCACGUGUUGCGUGACUGACGGUACCCUGGGAAUAAGCAUCGGCUAACUCCGUG